AUCUGCAGUAGCCAUGGAAACUAUACAUUUUUAAAACUAAAUGUAACCUACAUAAGAAAUAAAUGUAUAUAUAUAUAAUAAAUAUAUACUUAAGGGCUAUAGUAGAAAUCUAUGAACAGGUUUGUAUAUAAUUAGUUUACAUAUGCAGAUAGUAUGUUUGUAGUUAAAUUAGGUGUACGCUUGGGCCGAUCAGAAGAGUACCAGGAUCGCUACAGAGCUCGGAUGACUAGCUACUCAAGGAAACAACUUGGCACUGUUGGACAUUGAAAAAUGCAUUCACAAUUUAUUACAAUCAGGUAAGAAAAUAAAAAAACAUAUAAAACAAAGAAUAUAGAUAAUUCUAACCCGGGUAGAAAAAUAAAUAUAAAUUCUUAGGAAAAUAUUCAAAAUGUUCAAUGUAACAAUAUAAUUAACUCAAUUAGAAAUGGAUUUAGAAUUCAAUAACAAUACAGAAUGUGUUUGUUUGUGUGAGUGUUAAUGUCCUUUGCUCUUUUGUUCCACAGGUGAUGGAUUCAGUCCAUGGAGUUUGCAAUGGUAAGUGUUCCUCCUACCAGUUCACAGAGCUCAAAAACAAGGAUCAGUUCACAGGGAGUCCACGGAAAGUAGAAAAACCCUCUAGGUUAGGGUCUGGGAGGCUCGCCAUCAAAUGGUUUGUCCAACUUGAUCGUCCGAUCAAAAAACCCUGACC